AUAGUGAUAUGGAGCAAAACCCUAAAAGCGGUCUCAGUUCGGAUUGAAGGCUGAAAUUCGCCUUCAUGAAGCUGGAAUUGCUAGUAAUGGCAGGUCAGCAUACUGCCGUGAAUACGUUCCCGGGCCUUGUACACACCGCCCGUCACACCAUGAGAGUUGGAAAUACCCGAAGCCUGUGAGCUAACUGUAAAGAGGCAGCAGUCGAAGGUAGAGCCAAUGAUUGGGGUGAAGUCGUAACAAGGUAGC
rnacentral:rRNA from 1 species